UACGUAGGGGGCAAGCGUUGUCCGGAAUCAUUGGGCGUAAAGCGCGCGUAGGCGGCCAGAUAAGUCCGGUGUGAAAGUCACAGGCUCAACCUGUGAAUGCCGCUGGAAACUGUCUGGCUUGAGUCCGGAAGGGGCGAGUGGAAUUCCUGGUGUAGCGGUGAAAUGCGCAGAUAUCAGGAGGAACACCAAUGGCGAAGGCAGCUCGCUGGAACGGUACUGACGCUGAUGCGCGAAAGCCAGGGGAGCGAACGGG
rnacentral:rRNA from 1 species